CGUUCUGUAGUACAUAGGGACAAACAGCGGAAAGCGACUUUGUUUUAUACUAUGUACCUACUAGUAAUUGUAGAUAAGGAUGUGUAAGUAUGGAUUCAAAAGGAUUUUAACCGCGCGUUGAAAUACCGCUCCUUCGCAAGGGGGUAACAGUUCAACGCGUGUUCGCCAAAGUGCUAAAAGUUAUUCACAUUUUAAUUCCAGUAACAUCACUUGCCGGAGUUAUCAUCCUCUCAACUUGGUAUUCAGUUAAAUUUUAACUGAAAUUCAUUGAUACACGAAUGAUAUAGACGAUGUAAAUUACAUUCCAAUUUACAUCACAUGUAUCUUAUAUUCUUUACCACAUUUCCCACGGGAACAUUCAUUUUUUCGGGAUAAAAAGGCCUUUUCCGUAGUUCACACUACAUAUGCAAAAUUUCAAGAAGAUUCACGAAGUUUGGGUAAGCAGAUACAGCGGGAAGAGGUAACAAACAAAUUUACUUUCGCAUUUAUUAUAUUAGUUGGGCAAUCCCAAUCCAAUGGAUUGAGUGUGUUAUUCCUAGAACUGAUACGAGUGUAGUCUUAAUUAUAGAUUUUAUGAAUACCAAUAUAGUAAUCUUCUUUAUUUAGGUACCGGAUUUUUAUGCUUUACCAAAGCACGUAAUGAGGUGCUCAUAUGCAACGCAACUCUUCCUAUAGAUUUGUCUUUUCUGUCUAGUUAUUACACAAAAUAGUAUGGUCCUUAUCUUUUUGUUACACUUAAUUAUCUAUUUGUUACACUUGUCUGGGCUAAAAUUGGUAUGCAUUACCUGCUCAAACUUAGCCCAACUUGAUGUCUGAUGAGUACUAAUGACUGCCUCGUUUGCAGUUCGUCUGUUGACUUUAGGUGCCGAAAUUAAUACCGUCUAACUUUAUUUAUGCGUCUUAAUUUAGUUAUUUAUUUAAAUAUCUUUCUAAACGCUAAAUAAAUCGGCAACAAUUUAAUUUGUCGUCACCCGAAUCCUACUAAUAUAUUAAAUACAAAAGUUUGUCAGAAUGUAAGUAUGUUUGUGACUCUUUCACGCGAAAUCUACUGGACGGAUUGUUAUGAAAUUUGGUACACGGGUAGAAUAUAACCUACAAUAGCACACAGGGUACUUUUUAUCCCGAAAUUCCUACAGGAAUGAAGUCCCGGAACGCAGCUAGUUUAAUAUAAGAACUAAAUACAAUGUAAUGUAAAAAAACCUUGAAAUUUUGAAGACUCGACUGUAAAUUUACAACCGGCAUCCUGUCUGACGUCAACCCUCCUUGGGAAUACUUUGUCGCCUAUCAGCUGCUAAAGCUAUCCCUUAAUCGCCGUUUAAUCAUAAUAAGGUGCAACUACACAAAUCAACUAUUUAGCUUGUUUGUCGUGUGUACGAAUUAUUCGUAAAUUAGAUUUAAACUGUUGUCCGUAGUUCCACCCGCGAUGUCAUCAAAUUUUAUUAAAAUCGAUCCAGAGCGGUUUACUUGUGAAGGCGUAACAAACAAAAGACAGACAGACUUUCGCAUUUAUUAUGUUAAUAUAAAACGUGGAUUGUAACAUCACAUUUCAAUUAUGUGCUAAAAUAUAUUUUAUUGCUAACAAAAAAUAACCAAUAUUGAAUUCCGUUUCGCGUAAAAGGAUAUACUUAGCUAUGUUUACAUAACGAUCAAUACAUAAAGGAAAUGAAAUCGGCUGAUAAGGAACGUUUCAAUUUCGAAUCCAAUUUAUAUUUAUCGCAAUAAAAUGUUUGGAUGUAGAAAAUCCAAAAAGUUUCACGUAAAAUGUUUCGCUACAUAUAUUGUAUGCUGUAUUAUAUUGGCAACAAUACUUAAAUCCGUGAACAGCGCAGAACCGAUCGAUAUAGUCACUGAGAAGGAUAAACUCAAUCGAAUACCUAAAACGAAGGUCACAUUCUUCUGGUACGUGCCAGAAAAAGACCCCAUUUUCAGAAGACAAAACCGCAUCACUAAUACUAGUACAGUCACAGCUGUUUUACAGUCGAGUAGAAACUGAUAAAAAUUGUAAGUACAAUCGAGGGCAUAUGUAAACCUGAACCUUUGGUAGGAAGUUACUUAGUUUAGUCAGGUUUAUCUGUUCCCGGCUGUACAUAGUUUGUACAAGUUAGUAUAUACACUCUGUAUGUCAUAUAUGACGCAGGGAUUUUAUCAGAGACGUGGUUUCGUAAUUUCAGUAGUGAAUUUAUUAUUACACAGAUUAUUGUAUAUAGCGACCGGUUUUCAUAAUUUAACGAUCUCUUUUCAGUGAUAUUGUAAUUUUACUGGACCGCAACAGCUUUUAUAAUAUCCCUGCAACAUAUUAUAUAAAUCAAUAAUUACAUGUGUUGAUUAAUUGUACAAAAUGUUUAUGACUGGCCAUAGAUAAAAAAAUAAAACAAACCGAUCUGCA